rnacentral:rRNA from 1 species
UGAUCCUGGCUCAGACGAACGCUGGCGGCGUGCUUAACACAUGCAAGUCGAACGAGAAAUUACCUUCGGGUAAUGGACAGUGGCAGACGGGUGAGUAACGCGUGGCAACCUACCUUUCAGUAAGGGACAACAGUUGGAAACGACUGCUAAUACGUUAUACGUCCUCCGGGAGAAAGAUUUAUCGCUGAUAGAUGGGGCCGCGUUAGAUUAGCUUGUUGGUGAGGUAAUGGCUCACCAAGGCGACGAUCUAUAGCGGGUCUGAGAGGAUGAUCCGCCACACUGGGACUGAGACACGGCCCAGACUCCUACGGGAGGCAGCAGUGGGGAAUAUUGGACAAUGGGGGCAACCCUGAUCCAGCAACGCCGCGUGAAUGAUGAAGGCCUUAGGGUUGUAAAAUUCUUUCGCUAGGGAAGAUAAUGACUGUACCUAGUAAAGAAGCCCCGGCUAACUCCGUGCCAGCAGCCGCGGUAAUACGGAGGGGGCUAGCGUUGUUCGGAAUUACUGGGCGUAAAGCGUGCGUAGGCGGAUUAAUAAGUUAGAUGUGAAAUCCCAGGGCUCAACCCUGGAACUGCAUUUAAAACUGUUAGUCUUGAGUUCUGGAGAGGUAAGUGGAAUUCCUAGUGUAGAGGUGAAAUUCGUAGAUAUUAGGAGGAACACCAGAGGCGAAGGCGGCUUACUGGACAGAUACUGACGCUGAGGCACGAAAGUGUGGGGAGCAAACAGGAUUAGAUACCCUGGUAGU